CGUGCAACUCAAUUUCUUUUUCGACUCGUUGAUCUGGAUCUAUGGUAUACUAUGUGCACGCAGACUCGUGUUUAAUUUAUUCUUCAAUUCUACCAGGCCAGGAAACAACCAUUCAACGCGCGUGAAAGUGUGUUUCUCUUCUUUCGUAGCAAUUCUACGCAAUUUUUACCGGGAGUAAAAGCGAAGUUAAACGUGACAGCGAAACAUUAAACUUCUUCGUUGCAACGUACAAAGAAAGAAUCGCUAGUGGAUCAGUGGAGCAUAUACGAAGCCGUAAAAAUUACUGGCAUCAAGCAGUCAGUACUGGUGGAAAAUAUAACCCGGUCCGUUAAUGGCACGGCAAAGAAGAUCGCGGUUAUUAUAUUUCUGUGGAAAGGUUUCCUUAGGGGCAUCGUAGCCUGAUCCAAGAAUGCCUACGUUUUUCACCCAGGUAUUAAAUAAACUGUACUAUGACGCUAUUCAAACGAGGACAAUGACUGUUUCAAAGGAUUUACGACCUUACGAACCAAAGUAGAUAAGAUGUAAAAUUUUACACCGAUUUCUACUUAUUUCAGUGGGUAAUGUACUAUCCUUUUGAGGAAAUAUAAAGGCCACGUUCUUUGUGAACGCCCAAUUACUGCGAACGUAAGGAAAAUUUUACAGGUUCGACAUUCCAUUUUAAUUACUUCUUCGCUAAUAAGAUACGUGCGAAGCAUUCUUCGAUAUCAACACGUCAUAAGUAUGUGUUGUAUCGUCGGUGGAAGAGAUAUGUAUAAUGCUUAUGAUGAAAUCAUCAAAGUUUGCUUGUAUGAUUCAACAACCGAAAUAGUCAUCGGUGACAUAUAAAGGAAUAUAUCGAGUGCAGGAUAUUUUCUAGAAUUAUAUCAUUAAAUUCAGGAUUCUUCCUUUCUUUGCAAUAUACUUGAAAAAAUUGUUUACAGUAUACAGUUUGGUAAAUUGGGAUUCUGGAAAUACAGGAUUUUCUACUUUUCACUUGAUGCAUAUAUAUUACAAAGAAAUUUCAUAUGCCAAUCAUAUAAAUGACUUCUGCAGACCGAGAUUCCAGCUACUAACUACGUACAUAUACGUGCGACUAGAUCAACGUGUGUCACCAUGUAACGUAUUAAUUUACAAUCUCGUCGUAUCUCUUCGACCAACAAUAAGUACGUCAAGACCAAGUAUUUUUCUUCUUUCUUUACGAGUUAGUGUAGUUUAAAAUUUCCUAUCGUUUAAUUAGAAGCACAAUAAUAAUGGUGCUGGAAAGUAGCAUUACUCAUAAAGAUAAUCAUUGUUGACAAAUCAAAGAUACAACGAGCAAAAAUCAUUCUACGAUUAAAGUAUCGCGACUUUCUGUUGCGUGUUGAGGCAAAUGAAAUUCAGAAUGUCACGCAACAGAGUAAAAUUUCGCUGUCGCGUACAGAUUGAUCGAAGAAAAAGGUGAAAUUCUCUUCGUCCCUUUUAAAUUAUGAAUAUGCAUUCGUGAAGUGUUUCAAGUCUCCUGCGAUUAAAUAAAUAGAAUUAUGUAUUUACGAUUUAACGAGAUUGCUCUUGAGAUAUAUUUUUCUUUGCUAUAGGAAUUCUUUUUAGCAAGUGGUCGCAAACAAUCACGGUGACAGAGAGGGCUUUUACGAUUCACACGAAUGUAAUUAAUAAGACAUGUCGUUAAAUUUUUAAUUAGAAGCUGGACGGCCGUUAAUGGAAGGAAUUAUACGUUUCUCACUAUCAAUCUUCUCUUCGUACUCGUAUGUAAAGAAGUUACGUACGUUUUACAACAUUUGCUGCUGCUUGCAGUCACGGCCAGCGUAUAAUCGAUCAAAGGCGGGUAUUAAGUUUGCUUUUUAUUUUUUUAUGUGUUACGAUAACGAUUCGUGCGACAGGUUGUUACAUAUCAAAAUCGAGCGAUAAAUGUAGACGACUGUUUAUUCGCGGGAAAACGUAUCACGAAAACCACAUCUUAUCGUUUUGGAAAAUUUCUGCAAGAUUGUCGAAAAGUGAACAUCCUUUUCUACCAACUAAAAUUUCUUCCUGACGUUACGCCAUCAUUUUUCAUCGAAGGAGGUUCAUCUAAAAAAUUACAAGAAAGAGAUAAGACAAAGAAUUUGUCACAAUUUUUUAAUUAAAGGAAAUAACUUCACCGAGUGCAAAAGUUUAAAUAUCCAACGCAGAAAGUUGACGAUUAUCCACAAUAUCUAUAACUUAUAUGUACAAGGAUUUUAUAAAAAUUGGAGUGUAACAAUAGUCGUUAAAUCCACAUAACCAGAAACAAAUUGUGCAAUAGUAACUGAGAAUUCAGUAUGUACACGAUUCGGUUUGCAGGAGAGGAAAGGGAUCGAGGUAAUUAUCAAUUUCCUGUCUAUCUUUCGGAAAUUAACUCGUUCAAUCAGGGUUCGAUCACUGGAACGACUUUCGAUCGUCAUGAUGUGAAACUCUGCCUGAUUGAAGAUGAUUCCAUAGUAUGUAAAUGCAUACCAUUACGAAAAGGGAUUUCGUUCUACAAAAGUAAAAGUGAAUACAACGAGAUUGUUAAGAAACGCGAUCACUCGAUAAAGUGAAGGAAGUCUCUCUGUGCAAAUGUGUCGGUUAAAUAGCUGAUUAUUAGUCAACGUCGGCUUUUUUGGAAUCGAAGAUAUCACGGAAAGCAUUUGCAUCCGCAAUCAGAAAAAUAUGAAACCAAUGCAGUCUUUGGUGAGUAUCAUAUCACGAAGUUCUAAAAAUACAUAUGUAAAUAUAUGAAAUAUUUUUUUCUUCUUGGAAUUAAUGAGGUCGCGAUUACAUGAAAAAUUACGUUUUCUCUUGCACGCUACAAUCUGUGGUUUAAGUCUUUCGUAUAACAUAAGAAAUAAGUCUCCUAACGUAUAUAAUAAUACGAUUCUACUAAUAAUAAAAUGUAACAGAGGAAUCGCUGUUUUUUUCACUUUCUUGAACUGAACUAUUUAAGAGAUCUUCCACUGUUGUAAUUAUCUCCUGUUUAUUACACGUAAUCUUCUUUCAGAAAUAUUGAUAUUUAAAAAGCGUCUUGAUAUAAAUAUUUUCAAGAUUUCUUUAAUAUAUAAAAUCGAUUUACGGCAAAAUACGAAGAAAGUUAUGCAUAAAUCUCAUGCAAUGAUAACUCGUUGAACGUUCAACUUGCUCUGAUACGUCCGUUUCGGUGAAUCAUUUUUUUUUUCCAGAAAAGAACUCCUACAUUUUUCCAGCGAGCUCAUGUUUGGAUAUACAAGUGAGCAGUUCAACUUGCAUACCCCUUCUUUAUUUUAAUCCAGAACAUGAUCGAUGAAUUAUCGGUUCCUUGAAAAUUUCGAUAUGAACCAUAAUUUACAGAUACGAUAAGCUCUCAACAACAAUGUGUAGCGUUCGUUGCAAUGUUCUGAUAAAUGUGAUGCAAACAUACUUAAGCCAUUUAUCCAGUGAGGUCAUAGCCAAGAGCAGAACAAGACAUUAUGCAAUACUAAAAAUGAUAGAACAAUGCUAACGAUUGCACUAUCUGCAUCCUUUUCCAAAUUAUAUCAUCUCGAUCCAAUUUAUCUGCUUUACCUCUUCUCGCGACAAUUUUGUCCAAAAUUUCAAUGAGAUUUAUUCAGAAUGAAAUUUUAAUUUUACAUGUACUUUGAUUUGUAAAUAUCUAACAAGGUGUUUAUUAUUAAUAACUAGAUUAUGGAUAUUUUUGCACACUCGUAUUUUUGUAAAUUUAAUUUACAAAAUGGAAGUUAGAUAGAAGAAAUACAUAAAUAUUUGCAGCUUUCUAAUAAAAUAAUAAAUGACAAACUGUACAAGUGGCACGUACUGGUUUACUAUCUAUAUUAUAUAGAUUACAAAAUAUGUAAAAUAUAGAUAUUAUCAGAGGAAUGUGACCGUGGUACAACGGGGUUGACAUUAAGUUUUCUAUAACGCGUAUUAAGUGAUGUAAUUAAGUAAAUUGAGAGGGUCAUUGUCUAUUAGUGAAAACUAGAUCAGGCCCGUGCUAAACGAUUAAAAUAAAACUUACCAUUCAAUCGUGCCUAGUAAGUUUCGCGAAUUUUCGGGUUUAUCGAUCGAUAAAUCGUAUUCGAGACAUUUAGUUAUCGAGAAUUUAUCAAGUAUAAAUCUGAUUAAAAAUAAAGGGUCCAUUGUAUAAAAUUUGUCACGUGUGAUUACUUAUUUAUAUGCACGCAAGAAAAAUAUCCGGCGUACCGAGGUAACCUAACCUCACUUUCUACCAUGAACAUUAUGCAGCGAGAUUCAGAACCUGGAGUUUUGCUAGUGGUGAAAUAAUUGAUGAAAUAAAAAAAGAAAGAUUGUUGGAAA